rnacentral:tRNA from 2 species
UCUAAUAUGGCAGAUUAUUGUAUUGAAUUUAAGAUUCAAAUAUAAAAUUUUUAAAAAUUUUUUUUAGAA